CCAUCGGCCCUUUUCAGGACCAACAAACAUUAAUAAAAGGGUCUAUU
rfam:Aedes aegypti strain Liverpool supercont1.93 genomic scaffold, whole genome shotgun sequence.